UGGGGAAUUUUGCGCAAUGGACGAAAGUCUGACGCAGCAACGCCGCGUGGGUGAUGAAGGUCUUCGGACUGUAAAACCCUGUCGUCAGGGACGAAGGUUGAGGGGUUAAUAACCCUUUAGCUUGACGGUACCUGGAGAGGAAGCCCCGGCUAACUCUGUG
rnacentral:rRNA from 1 species